rnacentral:rRNA from 1 species
AGUUAACGCUGGCUGCGUGCAUAACACAUGCAAGUCGAACGGGGAUUAUAGAUGUAGCAAUACAUAUAUAAUUCUAGUGGCAGACGGGUGAGUAAUACAUAAGGAAUCCACCUGAGAGCGGGGAAUAACUGGCCGAAAGGUUAGCUAAUACCCCAUAAUAUAGAGAAGUGGCAUCACUUUUUUAUUAAAGGUUUUCGCUCACAGACGAUCUUAUGGUCUAUCAGCUAGUUGGUAGGGUAACGGCCUACCAAGGCGACGACGGAUAGCCGGCCUGAAAGGGCGACCGGCCACAGGGGCACUGAGACACGGGCCCC